GGAUAAGUUACUAAGGGCGCACGGCGGAUGCCUUGGCUCUCAGAGGCUAGGAAGGACGUGUACAGCUGCGAUAAGCUGCGUAGAGGUGCCUAAAAACCUUUGACGCGCAGAUUUCCGAAUGGGGCAACCCAUCCUUUUUAAAGGAUUUAGAGCAAACCCGCUGAACUGAAACAUCUAAGUAAGCGGAGGAAGAGAAAAUAAAAAUGAUUCCCCAAGUAGUGGCGAGCGAACGGGGAAGAGCCCAAACCAAUGAUGUUACGGCAUCAUUGGGGUUAUAGGACUACAAUGUGGAUAUACAAAUAAAAUGGAAGCAGUUGGGAAGCUGUAUCAUAGAGGGUGACAAUCCCGUACAUGUAAGUUUUUAUAUUCUAGUAGUAUCCUGAGUAGCACGGGGUCGGUGAAGCCUUGUGUGAAUUUGCCAGCACCAUCUGGUAAGGCUAAAUACUCCUGAGAGACCGAUAGCGAACUAGUACUGCGAAGGAAAGGUGAAAAGUAUCCCGAACAGGGAGGUGAAAAGAACCUGAAAUCGUGCGCUUACAAGCGGUCGGAGCCCGAAAGGGUGACGGCGUGCCUUUUGCAUAAUGAGCCUACGAGUUACUCCUCACUAGCAAGGUUAAGUAUUUAAGGUACGUAUCCGAAGCGAAAGCGAGUCUUAACAGGGCGUAUAGUUAGUGGGGGUAGACGCGAAACUUUGUGAUCUACCCUUGGCCAGGAUGAAGUUCAGGUAACACUGAAUGGAGGUCCGAACCGGUUGACGUUGAAAAGUCUUCGGAUGAGCUGAGGGUAGGGGUGAAAGGCCUAUCAAACUAAGAGAUAGCUCGUACUCCCCGAAAUGUUUUUAGGAACAGCCUCGGAUGAAGUGUAAUAGAGGUAGAGCUACGAAUUGGGUAAGGGGAAGUCAAAUUCUACCGAACUCAGAUAAACUCCGAAUGCUAUUACAUACUAUCCGGGAGUGAGGGCAUGGGUGCUAAGGUCCGUGCCCGAGAGGGAAAGAACCCAGACUACCGGCUAAGGUCCCCAAGUGUAUGUUAAGUUGAACAAAUGUGGUCCAGUCGCCUAGACAGCCAGGAUGUUUGCUUGGAAGCAGCAAUUCAUUUAAAGAGUGCGUAACAGCUCACUGGUCGAGCGACAGGGCAUAAACAAUAAACGGGCAUAAAACAUACCACCGAAGCUUUAGACAUAUUUAUAUGUGGUAGGGGAGCAUUCCAGUUGCGGUAAAGGUCACUCGUAAGGGUGAUUGAAGCGGCUGGAAAAGCAAAUGUAGGCAUAAGUAACGAUAAUGGGGGUGAAAAACCCCCACUCCAUAAAUUCAAGGUUUCCUGAUCAACGAUAAUCGGAUCAGGGUUAGUCGGGACCUAAGGCGAACCGUUUCAGGGAAGUCGAUGGCAAACAGGUUAAUAUUCCUGUACCGGCCGAGAGGGACGGAGAGAUGUAGUCCACACGUACAGACGGAUGUGCGUUGAGCCUAGUCUACGGACGAAGCGAGUGGAUGAGUUCUCUUCCAAGAAAAGCUCCGGCAUUAACGCCCGUACCCCAAACCGACACAGGUGAAUGAGGAGAGAAUCCUAAGGAGCUCGAGUGAUUCAUGGCUAAGGAAUUAGGCAAAAUAACCCUGUAACUUCGGGAGAAAGGGUUCCCACUUCGGUGGGACGCAGUGAAAAGGCCCAGGCGACUGUUUAUCAAAAACACAAGGCUCUGCAAAAUCGAAAGAUGACGUAUAGGGUCUGACACCUGCCCGGUGCUGGAAGGUUAAGAGGGGGUGUUAUCUUCGGAGAAGCACUGAAUCGAAGCCCCAGUAAACGGCGGCCGUAACUAUAACGGUCCUAAGGUAGCGAAAUUCCUUGUCGGGUAAGUUCCGACCUGCACGAAUGGUGUAACGAUCUGGGCACUGUCUCAGCCAUGAGCUCGGUGAAAUUGUAGUAUCGGUGAAGAUGCCGAUUACCCGCAACGGGACGAAAAGACCCCGUGAACCUUUACUAUAGCUUUGCAUUGGGUUUGGAUAUUUGAUGUGUAGAAUAGGUGGGAGGCUUUGAAGCGAUGCCGCUAGGUAUUGUGGAGCCACCGUUGAAAUACCACCCUUCAAAUAUUUGGAUCCUAACUUUUUUACAGAGGACAGUGCAUGGUGGGUAGUUUGACUGGGGUGGUCGCCUCCAAAAGAGUAUCGGAGGCUUCCAAAGGUACCCUCAGCACGCUUGGUAACCGUGCGUAGAGUGCAAUAGCAAAAGGGUGCUUGACUGAGAGACCUACAAGUCGAUCAGGAACGAAAGUUGGGUAUAGUGAUCCGGCGGUUCUGCAUGGAAAGGCCGUCGCUCAUAGGAUAAAAGGUACUCCGGGGAUAACAGGCUGAUCUUGCCCAAGAGCUCAUAUCGACGGCAAGGUUUGGCACCUCGAUGUCGGCUCGUCACAUCCUGGGGCUGGAGAAGGUCCCAAGGGUUGGGCUGUUCGCCCAUUAAAGUGGCACGCGAGCUGGGUUCAGAACGUCGUGAGACAGUUCGGUCUCUAUCUGUUGUGGGCGUAGGAAAAUUGCGAGGAUCUGACUUUAGUACGAGAGGACCGAGUUGGACAUACCUCUGGUGUAUCUGUUGUGGCGCCAGCUGCAGUGCAGAGUAGCUACGUAUGGACUAGAUAAGCGCUGAAAGCAUCUAAGCGCGAAACUAACCUCAAGAUGAGUUUUCCUUUAAGGGUCGUGGAAGAUGACCACGUUGAUAGGCUACAGGUGUACAGGCGGUAACGUCAAAGCCGAGUAGUACUAAUUACCCGUAAACUUACCUAU
rnacentral:rRNA from 1 species